AUCGCUUCUCGGCCUUUUGGCUAAGAUCAAGUGUAGUAUCUGUUCUUGUCGGGCCUCGGGCGCUAAACUUAACAGAAGUAAGUCCGAGGCCCUGCUCUUCGGGCCGUGGGGAAACAUAGACACAGGACAAUUGGAUGUGGAUUUUAAAACGACUGACUUAAAAAAAAUUUUAGGAGUAAAAUUU